rnacentral:misc_RNA from 1 species
AACCUUAUGGACCUGCGGGCGUAUACCUGCGGAAGGAUCAUUAAUGAGUGUUUAACCUCCCUUUAAAAAAAGGGGGUUACCUCCCGUCCUUUGCAGGCCCUUUUUUUAAAGGGCUUUUUAGAACUUUGCUUCGGCGGGGUUACCCCGCCGGAACACCCUCAAAAAAAUUCUGAUCAAAAAUCGUUCAGUCCGAGGAUAUUUGUGAAAUAAAAAAAAAACUUUUAACAACGGAUCUCAGAU